UUCCCCUGAUCGUGAGUGAGUUGCGGCAGAGAGAGAAAGAGUGAAACCCUUGUGUGUUUCUUGUUCAUCGCCGGCACCUUGUCUGCCUUCUUUCUUGUUCAUCAUCGUCGACGACCUUGAGAGUGGUGGAGUUGCUUUAUUCAAUCCUUCCCGAGCAGCGGAGGGGUGUGCGUCUAUUUGCUCUGCUUUUCUAUUCUCUGCUUUGCAACGUCUCCUUCAUUCUUGUUCCUCUGUUUAUUGCCUUUGCCGGUGUCGUGGGUGUGUCAAAAAUCUUCUCUUCUCUUCUUUGCCGUCGUCGACCUUGUUUCGUCUCUUCCCCUUUUUCGUGUUUGACAUUCGACUCUUCUCUCUCUUUCUUUAUCCCUGUUCUGGUAUAGGGAGCUUCUUCCCUUCUUGUUUAAAUUUUUAGCCUGUGAUUUGGGUGAUAGAAUUUGUGAUGCUGAUAAUAUACUGCUGGCCAUGCACCUUCAGUUGAACAUUGUGGGUUUAUCACAAAUUGGAAGUUGAAGCGCUAUUAUGGUUAUUCCUUAUUUGUUGCAAAAUGUAAAUUUAUUUAUUAUAUUUUGUAAAUUAAGUUCUUGAGUCUUCAUGUAGACCAUAUGCAGGAUUCCUUACCUUAUCAGGUGGUGUCAUAGGACUGUUGAUAUGGAGCAAGGCUCCUCUUUGAUUAAAUGAGUUGACCUUGUUGUAUA